AUUCAGCUGACGAGUUUCAAAUAGGACGAAAUGCGUGUCCUGGAU
rnacentral:hammerhead_ribozyme from 1 species